AUGACGAUCGUGGACUUGACGAAUUGUAAGCAGGGGGAAGGUGAAUCUACCACCCAUUGGGUACGCCGGGUCAAGGAGAUAAUUCAUUCAUCUGAUAAGAUGGAUGCCGGCUCUGUAGUCCUUAUAUUGGAAAAGAAUUGCAGCUUCAAGCCACUGAGGCAGAAACUGGGGCGCCUUAAACGUGGCUGCAAGGAUAUGGGUACAUUAAUGGCGGCUCUGGUCAAAUAUGCCGAUUCUGAUAGUACCAAAGAUCCCGAGUCUGACGAUGAAAAGACAGGGAAGGGAAAACCAAACGACAGUAGAAAGGACCAACCGCAUAACCCGGUGAAUCAAAGAGGCAAAAAGCGUAAGGCGGAUGACAACCCGGAGCUUGUGGCCAACAUUAAUACAUAG
rnacentral:rRNA from 1 species